AGUAGCAACUCUCUCUGGUUCCUUUACACAGUAUGGAAGCUUUGUUCUUUUGGUCUUCACACUAAAUCUUGUUGCUGCUCAGUGUUUGGAUCCGCACGGCGUUUGUGAGCUGUAACACUCACCGUGAAGGUCUGCGUCUUUGCUCCUGAAGCCAGCGCGAAGGUGUGCAGCUUCAGUCCUGAAGCCAGCGAGAUGGCGAACCCGCCAGGAGGGACGAACAACUCCGGCCAGGAGGAACAAACUUCUCCAGACGGGGCGCCGCCUUUAAGAACUGUAACACUCACCGCGAAGGUCUGUAGCUUUGCUCCUGAAGCCAGCGAGACCACGAACCCACCAGAAUAAAGAAACUCCGGACACAUCUGUAAGAACUCACCGCGAGGGUCUGCGGCUUCAUUACUGAAGUCAGCGAGACCAAGAACCCACCAAUUCUGGACACAAUUGGAUACUAUAAUCGAUAAAGUAGAGACGGGGUUUCACCGUGUUAGCCAGGAUGGUCUCGAUCUCCUGACCUCGUGAUCCGCCCACCUCGGCCUCCCAAAGUGCUGGCAUGAAAAGAGCUUAUUCUGUACAGAUAUAAUCAUUGUUUUUGAUGUGGGGAACCUUUUCCACCUAACGGAUGGCUUCAAAAGAAUCUGAAGCAAAGCUGAGAAUUUAGGAUUUGAGAAUGGCCAUUUGGAAAUUUUCUUCACCAGAAAUAAAACUACUGAAGUCUUCCUGAUCUUUGACCGGGAUUUUUUCCUGUCCCUUUUGGAGGUGGUAUUUUAAUUUUAAUUUGCUUUUCUCAGUGCUCGAAUGCUUAUAUACCUUAAUGCUUUGAAGAAAGUUAAAUAUUAAAAGUAGCUGAGUUAAAAACAUCCCUCUAGUUAAAUUUGUAAAAAUAAUUAGAAGCCUACUUUGCAUUCCAAUUUCAGCGGUUGCCUAAAGUUCCUAACAAUUAUCAUUAAUUCAUUUUCUAAAGUAUUGACAUUUCAUUGUAUUGUUGAACUGUGCUGGUAAAAGGAACAUUUCCAAUUAUUCUCUUUACCAACCAGAUUUCAAGAAAAAAAAAAAGCCUAAAAGGAUUAUUUAAGUAUCACAUUAUCUUGAUAGAACAGUACAUGAUGUUUUCUCUGGUUUUCAGAGAAGUAUAUGUAAUAUUCAUAAGGUCUUCUUAACCUAACCUGCUUUUUUUGGCUAGUAAUUUCUCUACUUCUUAAUGUCACAAAGAUUAAUGUAAUUGUGUAAAGAUUAAUUACAAGAGUACUUAAUCUUUUUAAAUAAAGACAAUGUCAAGAAAAAUAACACUAAAA